AUUGAACGCUGGCGGCAUGCCUUACACAUGCAAGUCGAACGGUAACAGGUCUUCGGAUGCUGACGAGUGGCGAACGGGUGAGUAAUACAUCGGAACGUGCCUAGUAGUGGGGGAUAACUACUCGAAAGAGUGGCUAAUACCGCAUGAGAUCUGCGGAUGAAAGCAGGGGAUCGCAGGACCUUGUGCUACUAGAGCGGCCGAUGGCAGAUUAGGUAGUUGGUGGGAUAAAAGCGUACCAAGCCGACGAUCUGUAGCUGGCCUGAGAGGACGAUCAGCCACACUGGGACUGAGACACGGCCCAGACUCCUACGGGAGGCAGCAGUGGGGAAUUUUAGACAAUGGGCGCAAGCCUGAUCCAGCAAUGCCGCGUGCAGGAUGAAGGCCUUCGGGUUGUAAACUGCUUUUGUACGGAACGAAAAGCCCUGGGUUAAUACCCUGGGGUCAUGACGGUACCGUAAGAAUAAGCACCGGCUAACUACGUGCCAGCCGCCGCGGUAA
rnacentral:rRNA from 1 species